rnacentral:rRNA from 1 species
UACAGAGAGUGCAAACGUUGUUCGGAAUCACUGGGCGUAAAGCGCACGUAGGCGGAUUUGUCAGUCAGGGGUGAAAUCCCGGGGCUCAACCUCGGAACUGCCUUUGAUACAGCAAGUCUUGAGUUCGAGAGAGGUGGGUGGAAUUCCUAGUGUAGAGGUGAAAUUCGUAGAUAUUAGGAAGAACAUCGGUGGCGAAGGCGGCCCACUGGCUCGAUACUGACGCUGAGGUGCGAAAGCGUGGGGAGCAAACAGG